CUAGUUUAAGUUGUAAAAAAAGGGGCUAAGGUUCACCAAUGUUCCCAACUGAAAAGUUUUAUUAAAACACAUGUUUUAGACAUUUUCGAAAUGUUUUGAAAAAACAUUAAGUAAACUUAGUCCACUAAUGCGAAGUCACCGAAAAUUUUUUCCUUACCGAUUAGUUUAAAAAACUUUUAUUACAAAAGUCAUCAAUGCAGAUUCUUCUCUGACUUUGUAUUAAGUUCAGCCAAAUUUUGUUAUGUGAGAUCAUCCUUUAGGUUAUUUCAGCUUGUGAACCGCCAUACACUACAGCUUUCUGCCUCCACUAAACACUGCCAUGGAGGUGGGAAUGGAGGCCUUGGAGGGAAAGCAGAAGGCGUGGAUUUGGCUUCUGGUCUGAUUUUGCUUCAAGAUUCAGAGAUGUAUAGGUUUAUCACGCUCUUGCUAAACUGAAUGACUUCAACCCUUGGUGUCCCGUUUCCUUGUUUUUUCAUGUUCCUUGAAGUCUUGCCUUGCUGUCUUCACCCCUGAAGAAGCAGUCACUUCCUCCAUCAAGCGACUGGCUUCAGGAGAGAAACACACACCUUGGGUCGCCCUGAGAGGGACUGAGGCGUUCUCAGACCGUUUCUGUGGCCACGUGUGCUCCACACUUCUUGUUCCUUCUUGGGAGGGAAUUCUUAAGGUUGUCUGCCUUCUCUGGAUGCUGCAGAGCCAGGCCGGUGCGGGCAGCCUCCCUUUUGCUUUCUCCAGGUCCCAUUGAACGCUGAAGUUUGCAUGCUUUCUCUCCAUCCCGCUCACUAGCCAUCUGCGAAGACUCACCAACCUUGGGUGGGGGUCGGGUGCGCACCCACAGCACCGGCCAGGGGGUGGGGGUGUGGGGACUGAGAUGUGCGCAGCACUGGGGUGUCCGUGGGCCGUCUGGGGAGAUCCGCAGGCAAGCUGUCCCCAGCAGCUUGUGGGUGGGCUUCCUGAUGGAGUCCGCAAAGUGGCUGGUAGAAUGGUCCUUUCGAUGCCCUCCGAGAGCCCGGGCUGCCUUCUCCCAGCCCCCUCCGCCCCCCACCGGUCGUGCAGCACACCCGGCGUUCUGGAUGCGGGGAGAGAGAGAAGUGGGCAGGCUCCCCUACAGUUGGGGAAGCCAGACGCUCACGCCCACGCCCUCACCUCCCCCUUGGGGAGAAAUCGCUGUGUGCUGGAAUUUCGCGGGUGUCUGGGAUUCCCACAAAGGUGCUCUUAUCCGCGGAUGAUGUUCAACAUCAGUGUUCGUUGGGCGUAAAGUGGAGUAUUCCAGAGACUACAUGAUGGAUGACAUUGCAACAGAUUGAACGCAGAAGCGCGUAUGAGAAUAUAGCCAUCUUCUCUCAAUCCAUACAUUAAAGAGACUCUCAAAAAUGUACAACACUAUCACAAUUCUCACUAAUUUUUUGUUUUGGAAAAUACAGUGACUUUUUGUUAAAAAUAGAUUAUCUAUAGUAG
rnacentral:lncRNA from 1 species